AUUGAACGCUGGCGGCAGGCUUAACACAUGCAAGUCGAGCGAGCGGCGGACGGGUGAGUAAUGUCUGGGAAACUGCCUGAUGGAGGGGGAUAACUACUGGAAACGGUAGCUAAUACCGCAUACCAUCAGAUGUGCCCAGAUGGGAUUAUCUAGUAGGUGGGGUACUGGGUCACCUAGGCGACGAGCCGCAGCUGGUCUGAGAGGAUGACAAGCAACACUGGAACGGAGACACGGUCCAGACUACUACGUGAGUGAGCAGUGGGGAAUAUUGCACAAUGGGCGAAAGCCAGAUGCCGCCAUGCCGCGUGUGUGAAGAAGGCCUUCGGGUUGUAAAGCACGUUCAGAGAGGAGGCGUUACUCGCAGAAGAAGCACCGGCUAACUCCGUGCCAACAGCCGCGGUAAUAC
rnacentral:rRNA from 1 species